GACGAACGCUGGCGGCGUGCUUAACACAUGCAAGUCGAACGGAAAGGCCCUGCUUUUGUGGGGUGCUCGAGUGGCGAACGGGUGAGUAACACGUGAGUAACCUGCCCUUGACUUUGGGAUAACUUCAGGAAACUGGGGCUAAUACCGGAUAGGAGCUCCUGCUGCAUGGUGGGGGUUGGAAAGUUUCGGCGGUUGGGGAUGGACUCGCGGCUUAUCAGCUUGUUGGUGGGGUAGUGGCUUACCAAGGCUUUGACGGGUAGCCGGCCUGAGAGGGUGACCGGCCACAUUGGGACUGAGAUACGGCCCAGACUCCUACGGGAGGCAGCAGUGGGGAGUAUUGCACAAUGGGCGGAAGCCUGAUGCAGCAACGCCGCGUGCGGGAUGACGGCCUUCGGGUUGUAAACCGCUUUCGCCUGUGACGAAGCGUGAGUGACGGUAAUGGGUAAAGAAGCACCGGCUAACUACGUGCCAGCAGCCGCGGUGAUACGUAGGGUGCGAGCGUUGUCCGGAUUUAUUGGGCGUAAAGGGCUCGUAGGUGGUUGAUCGCGUCGGAAGUGUAAUCUUGGGGCUUAACCCUGAGCGUGCUUUCGAUACGGGUUGACUUGAGGAAGGUAGGGGAGAAUGGAAUUCCUGGUGGAGCGGUGGAAUGCGCAGAUAUCAGGAGGAACACCAGUGGCGAAGGCGGUUCUCUGGGCCUUUCCUGACGCUGAGGAGCGAAAGCGUGGGGAGCGAACAGGCUUAGAUACCCUGGUAGUCCACGCUGUAAACGGUGGGUACUAGGUGUGGGGUCCAUUCCACGGGUUCCGUGCCGUAGCUAACGCUUUAAGUACCCCGCCUGGGGAGUACGGCCGCAAGGCUAAAACCCAAAGGAAUUGACGGGGCCCCGCACAAGCGGCGGAGCAUGCGGAUUAAUUCGAUGCAACGCGUAGAACCUUACCUGGGUUUGACAUGGAUCGGGAGUGCUCAGAGAUGGGUGUGCCUCUUUUGGGGUCGGUUCACAGGUGGUGCAUGGCUGUCGUCAGCUCGUGUCGUGAGAUGUUGGGUUAAGUCCCGCAACGAGCGCAACCCUUGUUCACUGUUGCCAGCACGUUAUGGUGGGGACUCAGUGGAGACCGCCGGGGUCAACUCGGAGGAAGGUGGGGAUGACGUCAAGUCAUCAUGCCCCUUAUGUCCAGGGCUUCACGCAUGCUACAAUGGCUGGUACAGAGAGUGGCGAGCCUGUGAGGGUGAGCGAAUCUCGGAAAGCCGGUCUCAGUUCGGAUUGGGGUCUGCAACUCGACCUCAUGAAGUCGGAGUCGCUAGUAAUCGCAGAUCAGCAACGCUGCGGUGAAUACGUUCCCGGG
rnacentral:rRNA from 1 species